rnacentral:rRNA from 1 species
UACGGGGGGGGCAAGCGUUGUUCGGAAUUACUGGGCGUAAAGGGCUCGUAGGCGGCCAACUAAGUCGGACGUGAAAUCCCCAGGCUCAACCUGGGAACUGCGUCUGAUACUGGAUGGCUCGAGUUCGGGAGAGGGAAGCGGAAUUCCAGGUGUAGCGGUGAAAUGCGUAGAUAUCUGGAGGAACACCGGUGGCGAAGGCGGCUUCCUGGACCGACACUGACGCUGAGGCGCGAAAGCUAGGGGAGCAAACGGG